AAAUGAUCACGUUCGUUCACGCUCUUUCCAUUACUGUCACGAAGCAUGGCUUUUCCCAGCUCUCUUGUCUUCAUCUCCAACUCUUGAACUUGUUCCAGCAAAGAUUUAUGGUAGGUAUGCUUGGCCGCUGUCCAUGCCACAUCUUUAACAAGGCACACAGUGGGCACGAGGAAUAACCCAAACCAGAAGUAGCCACAUCUCAGCACCAUUCCGGCCUCCAAAUCUGCAUGUCUGAAACUCCACACUCUUCAAGUCUGCUUAAAGUGAUUACGUCUUCUCAGUAAAUCUUUGAUUGUUCUUUCUCCCGG
rnacentral:lncRNA from 1 species